rnacentral:rRNA from 1 species
GAAUUGACGGGGGCCCGCACAAGCGGUGGAGCAUGUGGUUUAAUUCGAUGCAACGCGAAGAACCUUACCUGGUCUUGACAUCCACGGAAGUUUUCAGAGAUGAGAAUGUGCCUUCGGGAACCGUGAGACAGGUGCUGCAUGGCUGUCGUCAGCUCGUGUUGUGAAAUGUUGGGUUAAGUCCCGCAACGAGCGCAACCCUUAUCCUUUGUUGCCAGCGGUCCGGCCGGGAACUCAAAGGAGACUGCCAGUGAUAAACUGGAGGAAGGUGGGGAUGACGUCAAGUCAUCAUGGCCCUUACGACCAGGGCUACACACGUGCUACAAUGGCGCAUACAAAGAGAAGCGACCUCGCGAGAGCAAGCGGACCUCAUAAAGUGCGUCGUAGUCCGGAUUGGAGUCUGCAACUCGACUCCAUGAAGUCGGAAUCGCUAGUAAUCGUGGAUCAGAAUGCCACGGUGAAUACGUUCCCGGGCCUUGUACACACCGCCCGUCACACCAUGGGAGUGGGUUGCAAAAGAAGUAGGUAGCUUAACCUUCGGGAGGG